rnacentral:misc_RNA from 1 species
UGUCACAAUACUCCUCGAUCAGUUUGCGAAUCGGGUCGGUCACAUUUUUGCUCAUUGAACAGGAAGUGAAGCCUGCCAUCGUCAUUCUUGCCCGCCAUUUCCCGGCUACUUCGUAUCUCUCUACUCUUUCCUCACCUUCACAAGCUACAAUGUUGACUAUGUCCUUUGCCAAACAUUGCCUUUCUACAUUUAUUCUGUCUUGACUAUCUCUUGGGAGUGUUGCAUCAAGGGAAUUGUAAACAGCUGCGUAGUAGUUAUAGGCUUCGACAAAUCUUGAA